GUUGGAGUGACAGGGGUGUUGUUGGAGUGACAGACAGGAGUGACAGGGGUGUUGUUGUAGUAACAGACAGGAGUGACGGAGGUGUUGUUGGAGUGACAAACAGGAGUGACAGAGGUGUUGUUGGAGUGACAGAGGUGUUGUAGUAACAGACAGGAGUGACGGAGGUGUUGUUGUAGUAACAGACAGGAGUGAUGGAGGUGUUGUUGUAGUAACAGACAGGAGUGAUGGAGGUGUUGUUGUAGUAACAGACAGGAGUGAUGAGGUGUUUCUGUAGUAACAGACAGGAGUGACGGAGGUGUUUCUGUAGUAACAGACAGGAGUGACGGAGGUGUUUCUGUAGUAACAGACAGGAGUGACGGAGGUGUUUCUGUAGUAACAGACAGGAGUGACGGAGUAGUUGUUGUAGUAACAGACAGGACUGACAAAGGUGUUGUUGUAGAAACAGACAGAUGUGACGGAGGUGUUGUUGUAGUAACAGACAGGAGUGAUGGAGGUGUUGUUGUAGUAACAAACAGGAGUGUUCGAGGUGUUGUUGUAGUAAGACAGGAGUGACGGAGGUGUUGUAGUAACAGACAGGAGUGACGGAGGUGUUGUAGUAACAGACAGGAGUGAUGGAGGUGUUGUAGUAACAGACAGGA
ensembl:lncRNA